rnacentral:rRNA from 1 species
CCUACGGGGGGCAGCAGUGGGGAAUAUUGCACAAUGGGGGAAACCCUGAUGCAGCAACGCCGCGUGAGUGAAGAAGUAUUUCGGUAUGUAAAGCUCUAUCAGCAGGGAAGAAGAUGACGGUACCUGAGUAAGCAGCCCCGGCUACUUCCGUGCCAGCAGCCGCGGUAAUACGGAGGGUCCGGGCGUUAUCCGGAUUUAUUGGGUUUAACGGGAGCGUAGGCCGGUCUUUAAGCGUGCCGUGAAAUUUUGUGGCUCAACCAUGAGAGUGCGGCGCGAACUGGAGACCUUGAGUGCGCGGAAGGCAGGCGGAAUUCGUGGUGUAGCGGUGAAAUGCUUAGAUAUCACGAAGAACCCCGAUUGCGAAGGCAGCCUGCCGCAGCGUUACUGACGCUGAAGCUCGAAAGCGCGGGUAUCGAACAGGAUUAGAUACCCUAGUAGUC